AACUUUUGGCAACGGAUCACUUGGCUCUCGCAUCGAUGAAGAACGCAGCGAAAUGCGAUACGUAAUGUGAAUUGCAGAAUCCAGUGAAUCAUCGAAUCUUUGAACGCAUAUUGCGCUCUUUGGUAUUCCGAAGAGCAUGCUUGUUUUAGUAUCAGUAAACACCUCAACCUCCUUUUGUUUUUUCAAAAGGAGGGUGGACUUGAGCUAUCCCACCAACCGUCACCGGUAGGCGGGCGGCUUGAAAUGCACGUGCAGCUGCACUUUUAUCUGAGCUAAAAGCAUAUCUAUUUCGUCCUCGUCAAACAGGAUUAUUACUAUUGCUGCAGCUAACAUAAAGGAUAAUUGUCAUCAUUACUGAAGGAUGCAGGAUUUUACGACACCUUAUGUGUUUUUCAACUCGAUCUCAAAUCAAGUAAGACUACCCGCUGAACUUAAGCAUAUCAAUAAGCGGAGGCU
rnacentral:misc_RNA from 1 species